rnacentral:misc_RNA from 1 species
AAGUCGUAACAAGGUUUCCGUAGGUGAACCUGCGGAAGGAUCAUUAACACUUAAACCCCCCUGUGAACUUUUAUACUUGCUCUCCUAGCCCGCCGGAAUUGCAAUCCCUGGGAAAUCAUUGUUGAACAGAUUUUGUCAGUUUGGUAGGCGAAGAGCGAGCGAUCGUUGCAAGUGGCCUGGUUUCCCCAAGCAGUCAGUGUCUGGAAGUGUCAUUGAUUGUAAGGAUAACGCUUUUCGAUCACUAGAGGCCGAACACCGGCCGGUGACCAGCUCGCCGUGGCUUCGGCCUCGUAGGAAACUGCUGGGCAACAAAACGAACAACUGUUAACAAUGGUAAUCUUGGUUCUC